GAUUGUAUACCAUCUCUUGAUUCUUCACAGUCAACACCAACAGAGGAGCUAUCAUCUCAGGACCAGUCCAACACUGAUAAGAUUGAAUGCCAAGCAGAAAAUUACCUAAAUGCACUCUUUCGAAAGAAAGGGGAUGGAGUGUUAGAUCUCUCUACAAAGAAAACCAGCAUAAAAUCUGAAGAGUCAUCCAUAUGUGAUCCUUCUUCUGAAAAUUCAGUGGCUGGCAUGCUACAAGUGAAAACUGAUGAGAAACUGAAUGUGUCUGAUGAGAAUACAGCAAGUUGCCCUUUGAGCCCCAUUAAGAUGUGCCUUAAUCGUCCCAUUGAAUGGAAUCUGAAUUUGACAACAGCAUCUCUAACGAGCUGUACAGUUCAUAACCAAAAUCUCAAAAGCGAAGAGAAAUAGAUUGCAGUUCUUCUUGCACUAUCUUUAUUUUGUAUGUCAGUAUUCCUUCUGAACAAUAAGCAUUUAUCAAUUGAUCUUGAA
rnacentral:sRNA from 1 species